rnacentral:lncRNA from 1 species
AGGACCCUUUCAGGUUCUCCAUUGGGUUAAUAGAUUCCACACUACUCUGAAGACAUUAUUUCUGGUUUUUAUUUUUCUCAUUUUAAGAAUUUUCCCAGUACUAAAAUUAGCAAUGGCUCUAACAAUACCCACAUCACAGUUGCAGAGAAGCCUUGGGUCUUGAUGGAGCUGCUCUCCCUAUGACAUGCCUCUCUUUGAGUGCCAGUGAUGCAGAGGCCAGAGCUCAAGACAGUAGAAGCAGUCACCAAGGUCCAGCAUCAUUUCAUGAUGGACUAGAAGCAUGGAUGACAGUAAAGGAACAAAGCAGGAUGCCCUUUAAAGACACAGCCCCUGUGACUUCCUCCAGCUGGCUUCACCUUCCACAAUUUCAUUGCCUCCAUUAGAGUUCAGAUUUCCAGUCCAUCAAUAGAGUUAUACAAUAGAUUUUUAUCAGAAUGUGCAUGAUCUAAUUGUUUCUGGAAAUUCCCUCA